ACGGCGCGUUUUCAUUCUCUUCAAUUCAAGCUAAAGAAGUGCGAUGGAAAGACUUCAACAGGCAUACGAUUAACCCUGCCCAACCCGAUAGCGCUGAAUUGAUACUGCAGCACAGGUCAAUGGCAUCAUCUGAGCAGACCCUAGACAGUGGAUGAACAAACGGGUUAUGCAGAAGGAUUAAAAUGAAUGUCUGAAGAGGCUUCACAAACUGGGAUGAGAAUGAACCAGUGGAAAUUGAUGGGAGGCUUAGAACCUCUGAACAGACCAGUGAUAUUGAGAAUUAACCACUGGACAUUCUAACGGGAUGGCGGUACAGGUGUGCCUCAACACUGCAUUGAAAUGUCCCAAUCCAGGUUCACUGAUGGGAAUGGCUGUCCGUCUUACAACUGGCUCUCUGGGUGACGCGACUGGCGCUGAAAUUCCACUCAUGUUGAUAUGGCUGUAUUCCAGGGCUUUAAGGUCUUGGUACACCAACCAGUCUGUAAGGAAGGUGCAUGAGGCCCCCAUUCUGUACACCAAGGUGAUUCUCUGGCCAGUCACUUAUUGCCUUUCGGUUGCAUUAGGAGUCCUGUUCACAGGGAUGUAUGUAGGUUGACCAACUGUCUUGAAUUGUGCGGGACUGUCUCAUCCCACAACCAACAUGUUCUGCAUUUUGUCAACAAAUAUAACGCUACUAAUUUACAAACAUUUCAGUCCUGUCAUUCCAACUUGUCUUUUGCAUUAGUCGUGCUUGUGGUACUGGUAACACUUUCAAUUGUCAUUAGGUCUUUGGCCGUCAUUGUAAAUAACUUGUUCUUAACUGACUUGCCUAGUUAAAUACAAUUUGGUAAGAUCUGAUAAUCUGGAAUGUUAUUUACAAAAGACUAGCUGUAGACAAAUGUCAUCAAAUCCUAGUAUGGAUCCUACAAUGUGAUUUGAUGACAUUGGUCUACAGCUAGUCUUAUAAAUUAGGCUGAAAGAUGUAUGUAACUUUGUCAAACUUGUGGUGAGUUUUUGGCCUGCUUAAACUGGGCGACUGGGUUCGUCAACCUGAGCACGCACAAAUAAAGAUCACACGUAUUAAAGUCUGGAGUUCAUGCUUUAUUUGAAUCGUUUUAGACGUUGUGAAUUCAGCCCAUUUCAGAGUAGGUCAAGUCAAAGGCUUUUCAGUAAAUUGUGGCCUUUGAAAGCUCACAGCUUGUUUCUGCUCUCCCAAAAUACCAAAUUGAAGUGUUAUGAACUUUAUGGUCUUGUGAUUGGGUGGUUCUGGGACAGGCAGCUCACAAUACUUCGGUCCUGAUGUAUUGUGAUUUGAUGUUCUAAAAAUUUAUUGUCAUGUUUUCUGCUGCGGGACAAGGCCAUGAAUGAGUUUUGAUCAGUCAUGGAAAUACAGCUGUGGACACAUUGGCACCCUUGCACUUUUUCCUAAUAAACAAUUUCUUCCUGAACUGAAAUUAAAUAUUUUCAUAUCCA